UACGGUUCCUCCGGGCCAGCUCUGCCAGCAGCACCACAAUCUGAUUGGCGGUCAUGCUAUCCAGGCCAGUGGUCGGCUCAUCCAAUAGGAUCACCCCUGCAACGACAUUACCCCAAUGACGUCAUGGCCCUCGUGCAGGCAUGUCCCAGCUGCAGAGGGGUACUCACGUGGGUCCUGAAGUAGCUGGCUGGCGAUGGAGACCCUCCUCCUCUCGCCUCCAGAGAUCCCUGGGAAAACACGACCUCCAAUAACACUGUGGGCAACGUGGCUCAGACUCAGCUCAGCCAUCACUGCUGACACCUGCACAGGAGCUAGAGAGCUGAAUGCAAACCUGAAUUGCCCAGUAUACCCAUGAUCUGCCCACUGUCUACGUGGAAGGAGACAUCAUUGAGGAUCUGACGAGUCCAGC